GAUUGGUCAACUUUCAAGAACAUGGAUCUUGUGAAAAUUGAUGAACAAGGUGGCAAUAAAAUUUUUCAACUUAUCAAACUAAGUUAUGAUCACCUACCCAUUCAUUUGAAAAAGUGUUUUGCUUUUUGUUCUUUGUUUCCAAAAGAUUUUUUAAUUGAGAAGCAAAUGUUGAUUCGACUUUGGAUUGCAGAGGGAUUUGUUCAGUCAUCAGAUGAAAAUAUAAGUUUAGAAGAUAUUGGUGAAAAGUACUUCAUGGAUUUUGUUCAUAAGUCUUUCUUUCAAAAUAUCACUAAAACAUUUGAUGGCAAGGUAUGUUUCCAAAUGCAUGAUAUUGUGCAUGAUUUGGCAAGUGUAAUUUCAAGAAGUGACUAUGUUUUAGUUAGUGAAAAGGGGCAGCAUAUUGACAAACACAUUCAACACAUUCAUCAUGUCUCUUUUGGCUUUGACUUAGAUUCUUCAUGGCAAGUUCCAACUUCUCUUCUCAAUGCUUACAAACUAAGGACAUUUUUAUUGCCUAUGAAUUUUCAAUUGAAGUGUCUGCUUGUAAUUCCAUCUUGUCAAGUUUUAGACGGUUUCGUGUGUUGCAUCUUAACUGCACAAAGUCAAUGAAGAUUCCAUCUUGUAUUGGUAGGAUGAAACACCUAAGGUAUCUUGAUCUUUCUCAUGGUUAUCAUGUUGAAGAGCUUCCAAGGUCAAUAACUGAAUUAAUUAAUUUGGAGACUCUUUUACUCAAUCAGUGUUAUAGGUUGAGAGAGUUGCCCAAAGAUUUAUGGAAGUUGGUAAGUCUUCGGCAUCUUGAGUUGGAUGAUUGCAAGAGCUUAACUUAUAUGCCAAGUGGAAUUGAAAAAAUGACUAGUCUUCAAACACUGACACCAUUUGUGUUGAAUACGACUUCUAAAGACAGUGCUACAGCUAGUGAACUAAGCAGAUUAAAUAAUUUAAGGGGAAAACUACAGAUAAAAGGCUUGGAAUGCUUGAGGCAUUGUCCUACAGAAGCUAACCAUAUCAAUUUAAGGAGGAAUUCACAUCUUGAUUGGUUAUCAUUAGAUUGGAAUGAACAAAUUGCUGGUGAUGUCAAUGACUUGGAAAAAGAUGAUAUAAUUCUACAUGACAUAGUUUUGCACUCCAAUAUCAAGGUCUUACAAAUAAACGGAUUUGGUGGUGUGACCAUGUCUAGUUUGGUCAAUUUAUCUACAAAUUUGGAUGAAUUGAGAGUAUACGAUUGCACAAGAUUGCAAUAUCUAGAACUUACACAGUUGCAUGUCAAAAGCAUCUUCAUGAGGAAUUUGCCGUCCCUGGAGUGGAUAGUCAGCGACAACAACAAUGGUGAUAAUUCAUCAACCAUUUCUGCAUCACUCACAGAGAUAAGUCUUAUCACAGUCACAGCGAAGACAUUACAGCAAGCAGUCACUCAUUCCAAAGUGGAGUUUCUUGAUAUAGUUAAUAUACUUAAUUUUAAAUCUCUACAUGGAAUCCUUCAACAUCUCACUAGAGUGUCUGAAUUGAGUAUCAGGUAUUGCAACGAGUUUGAUCCGUGCAAUGAUGAAGAUGGUUGUUACAGCAUGAAAUGGAAAGAACUCUCAAACCUCAAAGUGUUGACUUUCAAAGGAAUCCCAAAAAUGAAAUAUUUGCCCGAGGGGCUUCAACACAUUACCACUUUACAAACUCUAAGAAUCUUGGAGUGUGACAGCCUUACAUCUAUACCGGAAUGGGUAACAUCACUGCAAGUGUUAGAUAUCCAAGAUUGUCGGAACGGGACAUCUCUGCCUGCAGCGGUGAAAGAUCAAUAGGUUCAAUUUGCGAUUUAUCAAGUGAGGUAUGGUUGAAACUACUUCUAUUAAGUCUAAAAGAGUUUUCUUUCAAUCUAAAAUUAAUAAGGUUUGAUUUGUUGAUUAUGCCAUUCCUUAUCUAAUAUAUUGUUGGUUUGCCAUAUAUGAAGUUAUAUUGGAAGCUUGCUUAGGGAAACAAUAUUUUUUGAAUAUGUUCUCAUUAUUAUGUGUCUAGUAGCUUCUUAAUUGUUGUGUCUACUGUGAUGUCUUUCUUAGGAUGUUGAGUUUUCCCAUUUUUAAGAAUGAUUGAAAGAUGGUAACUACUCAAGUCAAAGCCCUUAGACAAGCCUAACAAGUUCAGGUUCUCUUCGUUUUCUCCACUUCGGUUUACAAUGAUAUACCAAGUAUUUAACGUUAUUUUUCAUCAUGAUAAUAUCGACUAUGUUCAUUUUUGCUUGCAGGUGGAAACUUAUGUUAUGCUGAUUGUAUCGAUGUCUUAUUUCAAGCUAACUUCUCAAGAACUAGAAUGUGUCUGAUUGUAUCUAGUUACCCUCUGAGAUUCAUUAUAAAUGUGCCGAAUUAUUUGUUGUUCUUAGCUGAACUUAUAAAUAUGUAUUAUAAAGACAAAAUUACACUACAAGUCCUUUAUCUUAUUUUUUUGUAACAUUUUGGUCCUUUAUCUUUUUUUUGUAACACUUUGGUCCUUUAUCUUUUAUUUGUAACACUUUAGUCCUUUAUGUUUUNNNNNNNNNNNNNNNNNNNNNNNNNNNNNNNNNNNNNNNNNNNNNNNNNNNNNNNNNUGUUAUUUGUAACACGUUGGUCCUUUAUUUUUUAUAAAUAAAUAAGAUAAGGACCAAAGUGUUACAAAAAAAAAGAUAAAGGACCAAAUUGUUACAAAAAAAAAUAAAGGACCAAACUGUUACAAUAAAAUAAGAUAAAGGACUUGUAGUGUAAUUUUGCCUAUUAUAAAUAUGUAUUGCAGAAAUUUGAUUAUAUAUUCACAUUUUACCUUUCCUUGGUUGCUAAAAAAGUUAGAGAUUUUCAUUAUUUUAGUUUAAUUGAUAAGAGAUAACUAUUGGUAAUAUUGUGAGUUUUACCAAUCUGCACAGCUAGUUAAGCUUCUUCCAUGAUAGAAAAUGUAAAUGUAAUAAAUUCUUCCUCUAGCAUCCGAAACCACCAGCCACCCCCGACCUGCACAGGACACCUCUGAUUCAAGGCAUGUUUGGUGUGUCCAACAUGUGUCACCUGUUUGACACCGACACAUGUAAAUAUAUUUAAUUAAUUUAUUUUUCAAAUUAUUAUAUAUUAGCAUCGAUUUGUCAGUGUCGUGUCUUAUUUCUAUGUCCGCGUCGGUGCUUCGCAUGUGGUUAGUGAUACUAAAUCGACAUACACUGGAUGGACAAACUAUUAUUUAUAUGGAUUUACAAUUAUUAAUAGUUGUUGCAUUUUCAUGCAACUAUAUUAUAGGACAGGAAAAAACAGGACAUAACAAGAUAGUAAAAGAGCAAAGAUUGGAAUGACAGUACAUCACAUAAUUCAAUAUGAAUAUUGUUCAAGCAGUUAGAACUUUAUUACAAAACAAAAUUAAAUUAGAAGUUUAGCUUUAACUCAACUUUUAUGUUUGGCAAAGUUAAGUUAGAGAAUUGAUGUAGCUUAUUAUCUAGAUUGGAUGAUUUUAAACACAAUUAAACUUAGAAGGACUUCAACAUUGUCCUUGGAUGAUUUGUGUGCAGUCACCGACUGCAUGCAGUCAUUGAUUCAUGACCGUCUAAUUUUGAUCGGAUACUUCAUAAUGAAGGGAUAUUCUAUGUUAUAAAAUGUUAAAUUUUAGCCAUAAAAUUUUAAUGAUCGGACAGUCAGGAAGCCGUGGCUGCAAAACUGCAUGCACAGUGACUCCACAAAAUUCAAAUCCGUCUAAGAACACAAGUUAGUAGGCCUCUGAUAGGGCAUGAUUAGUGAUUUCCAAAGGAUGUGACGGUAGACCGCUCCUAUAGCAGUUAGUCAUUAUGCAAAAAAUCAAUUUUAUUGUAUUCAUAUUAUCAUAUAUGCUUUGCCAAUGAGAAUUGAACCUCGAAUCUCAUGCAUACUACACAAAUUUCUUAUCAUUAGAUCAAAUAUAGUGGCUUAAUGCUAUUUAUGUUACUGUGUACAUAGUUAGUUGAGAAAAUCAUAGACAGGUGGAAAACUUAAUUAGGCAGCUGUAAUUUAGGUGGAAAACUUAAUUUACAUUAAGAACACGGCAAUGAUGUAUCUAUUUAUAUCACCUACAUGGCAAUGAGAAGAAUGGACCAUAAUUCACAAAGAACAGAGUGAAGGAGAGUGAGAGUACUCAUGCCUGUUUGUGGUUGUGGAAAAAAUGUAGAGGCAGACCAAAUUGAAAAAUUGGGUUAACAAACCUAAUCUAGUGCCCUGUUCUCUAAUAUGACACCGACACAUUUAAUUAUAUUAAUUAUUCAAUUAAUUUUUUUUUUGGUACAUAUAUACAAAUAAUUUAUUUUCUCAAAUUAUUAUUAGUAUCGACAUGUUGGUGUCAUGAAUGAUUUCUCUUUCUGUGUCGGUGCUUCACAUGUGGUUAGAGAUACACUGAAUUGACAGACUAGAGCUAAUACCUACAUAGCUGUUGUAUUUUCUUGCAACUAUGCGUUUUUGUUGUUCUAAAUCAUGAUGUAGGGGGAUUGAAAUCUAGAAAUGUGAAGUUGGUUUGUUUAUUGUUGGUUAUAAUUACAUCUUAGUGUAACGCAAAUAAGUUAAGAUUAAAUCUUAGAGGGGAGAAACACCUUAAGCUAGGAUAAAUAUGUCCAAAAUCACAUACAGUACUGAAAUUUCAAUGCGUCCACAUGGUUGAUUGAUGGUUGAUCUAAAAUUUCUGACUGAAAUUUGGCUAUCCGGUCUUUUUUCUUUUUCUUUCACCACAAGUUUAAUCUGGUGGCAUCAAGUGGUUCCAGCCUCCUGCAGAUUACAGUUGCAGGAAAUUGAACCAUGGUCUUUUCUAUCAAGUUUAGCGUCAAUUACCGGUUAACUAACUAACUAUUGGUUGGCCAUACAGUGUCUGUACAUUUGCAUUUACUAGUAGCAUGUGCUUUUGUCUAUCGAUCAUCAAUUAUUGGGGACUCCAAUUAUUGUUCCUUGAAUUUUUUGGUUACGUUACCAAUUAAUGGUUCCUUGAAUUAUUGCUACUUACUUUUUCUGUUUUGUGGUUAUUAUCUACUCCAUCCGUCCUAAAAUAAUUGUCGCAUUUGACUACUAUACAUUUGUAGAUAGAUAAUUUUGAUCAUUAAUAUCCUUUGUUGUGUAUUAUUAAAGAUGUACGAGACUUUCAUGAUCAUGUGACCAUAUAGUCACACUCAUAUAGUUUUUGAUUAUUUAUGAAAUAAUUAAAAUAUUAAAAUAAAAAAUUUAAAUUUUGUGAGUGUGACCAAGAAAUUAUAUUUGGUCACGCGGCCAUAUAAGAAUAAUUCAUUAAAAAUUAUAAAAAUUGAUAUUUUGAUAAUACUUAUCGAGACAAAUCUAACAGGAACUCAUGUGUUAAUAUUUGUCUUUAUAUAUUACUAAAACAUAUGGUCAACGUAGCUUGUAUCAAUGAUAUACACGGUAAAAUUGUGAUAAUUAUUUUGGGACGGAGAGAGUAUAUAAAAACAACGUGAUUUUUUUAAGUAUUACUACUUUUUCUUUUGAAAAAAAAAAGAUAUUUUGUUUAAUUACAUCUUUAUAAAGUAAUUUGCCUAAAAAAAUAAAAUAAUUACUAUGAUGUUCCUUCGAUGUCUUUGGUUGGAUUUGGAUCCUCUCCAAUUUUCCCUUAUGAUUUUUCUCCUUUUUCUUAAUCCAAGGGUUGGUAAAUUACAAAGAAUAAAAAGGAGAGAAUUAUCAAACCUUGGAUUAAGAAAAAAGAAAAAAACAUGAAGGAAAAUCGGAGAGGAUCCAAAUCCGUCUUUAGGGACUAAAUCCAUUAUUAUGAUGUCUUAUAAUUGUCUUAAUUUAUCUAAAAAAAAUAAAAUAAUUUAAGGACUAAAUUAUGGCGCCUUUUAAGAUGGAAGAGACCAAUAGGUCUUCUCACAAUGGUAAACUUCUCACAAGGACUAAAUUAUGGCGCCUUUUUAUAUUUGUUGCAAUUUUGAUCUUAAUUAACUCAUCUUUAAAAAGAUGAUUUAUUAUUUAAAGUAUUGACCCUAAUGAUAAAAAUAUCAUAUUUGAAAGCAAAAUUCAUCUCUUCUAAUAUUAAAAAUUGUCAUUUUGUAGACAAAACUCAUUAGUUAUGCCCAAAAUCAUAACAAACGUAAACAUAUGGGACAAAAUACAAUUGAGCCAAAAGAUAAAUAUCUUUUCAAAAAUUUGAAUUAAGUUUAAAGACAUUUUGUACUGUACAGUCACAGAAACAUAUGGUUGAUUGAUGGUUGAUCUGACAUUUCAGACUGAAAUUAUGGUUUUGUCUAUCGACCAUCAAUUAUUGUUCUUUAAUGAUUGCUACCUACAUUUCAAACGUAAAUAAAAAACAUAUUUCUUCAAUUAUUGGUUUUUCUUUUGUAAACUAAACUAUAUCAAUUAUUGCUUUUUCUUUCCAAAAUCUUGUGCACCUUAUUCAUUUGUGAGAAAAAUGGCUGACGGUUUAUUGUUUAACACGAUUGAGAAGCUGAUCGGGAAGCUGGGUUCUAUGGCUGUGGAGACCUGGAACAUGAGAGAUCAUCUUGGAAAGCUGGUGGAAAACAUGUCUGAGAUCAAGGCUGUGGUUUUGGAUGCAGAGGUGCAGCAGAGCAACAGCCAACAAGUUCAACUUUGGUUGGAAAGGCUCAAAGAUGCUCUUGAUGAUGCUGAUGACUUGCUUGAUGACUUCAACACUGAAGAGUUAAGGCGACAGGUCAUGACCAGUGACAAGAAGGCUAAGGAGAUUCGCAUCUUCUUCUCAUCUUCUAACCAAAUUUUCUAUUCAUUCAAAAUGGCUGGGAAAAUUAAGGAACUUGGUAAGAAAAUCAAGGACCUUGAUGUUGGUAAAAGAACUUUUAAUUUUACUAAUCGCACUCCUGAGNNNNNNNNNNNNNNNNNNNNNNNNNNNNNNNNNNNNNNNNNNNNNNNNNCCAUAACUGGACUUGGAGGACUUGGAAAGACUACGCUUGCUCACCUUAUAUACAACAACAAAAAAGUGCAACAACAUUUUGAGUUGAAGGAAUGGGUGGUUGUUUCUGAUCCUUUCGAUGUAAUAGGUAUUGCUGCAAAGAUCAUCGGAUCAAAAACUAAUAUUGUUGAGAUGAAUAAAGUGCAGCCGGAGCUUCGCGAAAAAGUUGAGGGCAAGAGAUAUCUGCUUGUCUUGGAUGACAUUUGGAAUGAGGAUCGUGAACUUUGGCUUCAAUUGAUGUCACUACUGAAAGACGGAGCAAAAGGAAGUAAAAUAAUUAUCACCACGAGAAGUGAGAAGGUAGCCAAGGUAUGUAGUUCAUCUUCAAUCUUCUCUUUAAAGGGUCUUGAUGAAGAACAAUCUUGGAGAUUAUUCAGUCAACUAGCUUUUGAGAAUGAAAAGGAUCUAGAGAAUGAGAAUUUGGUGCCAAUUGGUAAGGAAAUUGUGAAAAAAUGCUCAGGGGUUCCUCUCGCAAUUAGAAGCAUCGGAUGCCUAUUGUAUAACAUGGAGGCUAAGGAGGAUUGGUUAACCUUCAAGAACAGAGAUCUUAUAAAAAUUGAUGAGCAAGCUGAAAAUAAAAUUUUUCAAAUUAUCAAACUAAGUUAUGAUCAUCUACCCUUUCAUUUGAAAAAGUGUUUUGCAUUUUGUUCUUUGUUUCCAAAAGAUUAUUUAAUUGAGAAGCAAAUGCUGAUUCGACUUUGGAUUGCACAAGGAUUUGUUCAGUCAUCA
rnacentral:lncRNA from 1 species